AGACUUACCUGGACGGGGUCAAUGGGCGAUCAAGAAGGCCCAUGGCCUAGGUUGGUGACCUCCAUUGCACUUUAAAGGGGUGCCUGCCUAAUGUCGGCCCAAGUCUUUUACCCAAAAGAGAAAUAGGAGAUAAAUAUAUAGAGGUUAAGUAUGCAUUUUUUGUAAAAGUUGAGGCCUUAAAGACAAAGGUCCUCCA
rfam:Helianthus annuus linkage group 5, whole genome shotgun sequence.